UACGUAGGGGGCAAGCGUUGUCCGGAUUUAUUGGGCGUAAAGAGCGUGUAGGCGGCUAGGUAGGUCCGUUGUGAAAACUCGAGGCUCAACCUCGAGACGUCGAUGGAAACCAUCUAGCUAGAGUCCGGAAGAGGAGAGUGGAAUUCUUGGUGUAGCGGUGAAAUGCGUAGAUAUCAAGAGGAACACCUGAGGUGAAGACGGGUUGCUGGGCCGACACUGACGCUGAUGCGCGAAAGCCAGGGGAGCAAACGGG
rnacentral:rRNA from 1 species